GUGCUCACUUCGGCAGUAUAUACACUAAAAUUGGAACGACACAGAGAAGAUAAGCAUGGCUCCUGUGCAAGGAUGACACGCAAAUUCGUGAAGCGGUUUUUUUUUUG